rnacentral:rRNA from 1 species
CGCGUAGGCGGCUUCUUAAGCGUGCGGUGAAAGCUCGGGGCUCAACUCCGAGUCGGCCGUGCGAACUGGGGAGCUGGAGCACAGUAGAGGCAGAUGGAAUUCCGGGUGUAGCGGUGGAAUGCGUAGAGAUCCGGAAGAACACCGGUGGCGAAGGCGGUCUGCUAGGCUGUGGCUGACGCUGAGGCGCGACAGCGUGGGGAGCAAACA